UAAAAUGGGAGGUAAAUUUCUCCUAAGGCUAAAUAUUGGCGAGAGACCGAUAGCGAACAAGUACCUUGAGGGAAAGAUGAAAAGAACUUUGAAAAGAGAGUUAAACAGUACGUGAAAUUGUUGAAAGGGAAACGAUUAAAGUCAGUCGUACCUACGAGUAAUCAACCUACACGAGCGCGAUUUUGUGGGUAUGAAGAGGUAAAACCUUCAUGCUUUCAAAUUGGUGUUCUUUGGGCGUACUUUCUCCUAUGGUAGGUUAACAUCAAUUUCGAUCGUUAUAAAAUGACGGGAGGAAUGUAGCUUCGACUUCGGUUGAAGUGUUAUAGCCUCUGGUAGAUGUAAUGAUUGGGAUUGAGGAUUGCAACGGAUACCCUCUGGGCUAUUCGUCUGAUCUCUGGAAGUUACCUUGGUGUCGAAAGCGUGCUUAUGACAUUAAGAAUGACGGCCAAAAGGUUAGAACGGAAUUAAA
rnacentral:rRNA from 1 species